CAGAAAUGCUUUUGCACCCUGAGUGGGUAUGGAAGAAGCCAGGUAGCAGAAUGACUCCUACGCUGAGAUAAAGGCAGCUUCCAGGAAGACUUGCCACCCGACAAGAACCACAGAGUUCAAGGAGCAGAACGGCUACAUCUGGGCAAGGACCUUCCGGACAGCUUGUCUCUUUAAUACAGAGGGAUUCCAAGGUCUCAGGAAAUGGGCAGCUUGCUUACAUUUUCAUUGUAUAGCUGGUAUUUUACAUUAAACAACAACAACAAUGUUGAUUGUUUUCUAUGUUUGCUGUUGUAAUCCACCUUGGAGUCUUGAGGACAAAGGAUGAAUUACAAG